rnacentral:rRNA from 1 species
AUUGAACGCUAGCGGGAUGCUUUACACAUGCAAGUCGAACGAGUGGCGGACGGGUGAGUAAUAUAUCGGAACGUGCCCAGUAGCGGGGGAUAACUACUCGAAAGAGUGGCUAAUACCGCAUACUCUUGGAGCGGCCGAUAUCGGAUGAGCUCGUUGGUGGGGUAAAGGCUAACCAAGGCAACGAUCCGUAACUGGUUGGAGAGGACGACCAUCCACACUGGGAUGGAGACACGGCCCAGACUCCUACGUGAGGCAGCAGUGGGGAAUUUUGUGCAAUGGGGGAAACCCUGAUCCAGCCAUCCCGCGUGUAUGAGAAGGCCUUCGGGUUGUAAAGUACUUUUGGCAGAGAAGCGGUAUCUGCAGAAUAAGCACCGGCUAACUACGUGCCAGCCGCCGCGGUAAUUC